rnacentral:rRNA from 1 species
CGGUACCGGAAUAAGAAGCACCGGCUAACUACGUGCCAGCAGCCGCGGUAAUACGUAGGGUGCGAGCGUUAAUCGGAAUUACUGGGCGUAAAAGCGUGCGCAGGCGGUUUAGUAAGACAGGCGUGAAAUCCCCGGGGCUCAACCUGGGAACUGCGCUUGUGACUGCUAAGCUAGAGUACGGCAGAGGGGGGUGGAAUUCCACGUGUAGCAGUGAAAUGCGUAGAGAUGUGGAGGAACACCGAUGGCGAAGGCAGCCCCCCUGGGGCCGAUACUGACGCUCAUGCACGAAAGCGUGGGUAGCAAACAGGAUUAGAUACCCUGGUAGUCCACGCCCUAAACGAUGUCAACUAGGUGUUGGGAGGGUAAAACCUUUUAGUACCGGAGCUAACGCGUGAAGUUGACCGCCUGGGGAGUACGGCCGCAAGGUUAAAACUCAAAGGAAUUGACGGGGACCCGCACAAGCGGUGGAUGAUGUGGAUUAAUUCGAUGCAACGACGAAAAACCUUACCUACCCUUGACAUGUCCAGAAGCUCUUAGAGAUUUGAGUGU